rnacentral:rRNA from 1 species
UACGUAGGGUGCGAGCGUUAAUCGGAAUACUGGGCGUAAAGCGUGCGCAGGCGGUUUUGUAAGACAGGCGUGAAAUCCCCGGGCUCAACCUGGGAAUGGCGCUUGUGACUGCAAAGCUGGAGUGCGGCAGAGGGGGAUGGGAAUUCCGCGGUGUAGCAGUGAAAUGCGUAGAUAUGCGGAGGAACACCGAUGGCGAAGGCAAUCCC